rnacentral:rRNA from 1 species
AGAAUCAACGCUGGCGGCGUGCCUCAGACAUGCAAGUCGAACGCGAAAGUUCCCUUCGGGGGAUGAGUAGAGUGGCGCACGGGUGAGUAACACGUAGGUAAUCUACCUUUGGAUGGGGAAUAACAACCGGAAACGGUUGCUAAUACCGCAUAAUGCAGCGGCACCUAAUGGUGACAGUUGUUAAAGCGGGGGAUCGAAAGACCUCGCGUCUGAAGAGGAGCCUGCGG